UUUUUUUUUUUUUUUUUACUUUUUCUUCACAAAAAAAUUGUACCUGAAGAAUAAGCUCGUGGCGAGACAGAGUGUUAGACUCCAGUGACGAGUUGAUCUUCAUGCGGAACAUCAUCCGAAUCCAGUCGGUGCUAUUACACUUGUAACUCGACAGCUUUCACUCCCCAGGGCUGAAACUCACCUUCGAUCUAUACACAAAUAUAUGUUAAUUACACACAUAUAUCAAAUAAAUAGCAUAAUAUAAAGAAGAGUUGAAACCCUGUAUUUAAGAAUGAGGCUACCGGUGUGGAUUUUCCUCUUUCUACGAGUAACGUACUGUAUGAGACGGUUCGUCAAAUAAACCUAUUCGUUCUUAAUAUUUUUAUUGGGUUAUUAGCACAAAACUUCAACUUCAUUGUCCAAAACAUCUCAACAUUUUAAUUUUUUUACAUUUUCACCCAUAUUUUAACCUUUUAUUACGAAAAUGAUAAUAUUCAUCAAUUUUCAUUCAAUUUCUCAAUAAAAGUCCCUCCUAUUUUAUAAGACAAAAAGAUAAUAAAAUAAAAGUAAAAAAUUAAUUACAAUUUAUAUACUCUCAAAUUCUUUUAAAAAAAUGCAAAUGAGUCCCCAAAUAAAUUAUUAAUAAAUUAAAAAUAGAAAUUUUUUUUUUUUUUCUCCUCCUUCCUCCGCCUCCUCCUCCUCCUCCACCACCACCACCACAAACCAAAACUUUUUUCCCCAUCCAAUCCCACUUCUUGGCCUCUAACUCCUCCAUAUAUAAACUAAGCUCUUCUCCGUUCAAAUUAGAUACACGUUUCAGAAGUUACUUCUUCCUAGCCACCAACUCUUCCAUAACAGCCUCUGCAUUCUUAGAUUCUUCUCAUCCAAAGCAGCCAUCAACGCCUCCUUAUGCCUAAACUUCUUCAAGUAGAGAUGGUCUUUAAGCGGAGGCCAUAGAAUGAACCAUAGGCGAGAGGUCAGAAACUCGACUGUAGUCAGUAGCCUGUAGUAACCGGAGAUGGUCUCAAAGGCGACUCCCGGAGGCUACAUUGAAGAACGUUUACCUUGAUUAUUGUUGCUAGAGAGUUGAACUUUGUUGAACAUUUUUUCAAACACCUUGUGUGCUCAUCAAAACUUGGAAAUUUCUUUGACAGAUUGUAUCCUUCUGAAUCACCAGUUGAAUGCCACAUUCGAUCAUCUCAAAUCUCCUUUUAGUGUGAUCUUUGGCUUGGACAUUCUCGCUAGCAGCUGUUGUGGGAGCAAUGGUAGAAUUUUACAAGGCAACAGUUGCCUCCU
rnacentral:lncRNA from 1 species